AGAGCACUCAGCUCAUUGCCUUGUAUAAAGAAGGCUACACACAUGCUCAGGAGAGAUCAAAAUUGGCACACUUGAAGGUGAAAAGAAAAUGGCUUUAAAUGGUGACUUCAAUCCAACGAAAGAAAUAAAGAGCACUGCUAUAGUUUUGUAUGUUGAGCCCUGGUAUACAUGAAACAAAGAGGUGAACCAUAGAUUUAUCAUAUGACCUGACCUGUCAAUUCCAUUUGU